GGAUGAAGAACGCAGCGAAAUGCGAUAAGUAAUGUGAAUUGCAGAAUUCAGUGAAUCAUCGAAUCUUUGAACGCACAUUGCGCCCGGCAGUAAUCUGCCGGGCAUGCCUGUCCGAGCGUCAUUUCACCCCUCGAGCCGCUUUUAGUGGAUCGGUGUUGGGGCACUACGGUAAAACGUAGGCCCUGAAAUGAAGUGGCGGUCCCGCCGCGGUGCCCCCAUGCGUAGUAACGUUUAGUCUCGCAUCGGGUCCCGGCGGAGGCCUGCCGUCAAGCCUAUUUAUUCUCAGAAUAGUUUGACCUCGGAUCAGGUAGGGUUACCCGCUGAACUUAAGCAUAUCAAUAAGCGGAGGA
rnacentral:misc_RNA from 1 species